rnacentral:rRNA from 1 species
UACGAAGGACCCGAGCGUUAUCCGGAUUUAUUGGGUUUAAAGGGUGCGUAGGCGGAUUUAUAAGUCAGUGGUGAAAGCCUAUAGCUUAACUAUAGAAAUGCCAUUGAUACUGUAAGUCUUGAGUACAGUUGAGGUGGGCGGAAUGUGCAGUGUAGCGGUGAAAUGCUUAGAUAUUGCACAGAACACCAAUUGCGAAGGCAGCUCGCUAAGCUGUAACUGACGCUGAUGCACGAAAGUGUGGGUAGCAAACAGG